rnacentral:sRNA from 1 species
ACGCUCGGAUCGAGAUAGAUGAUCAUCGUUGCCUUGACGUCUGCGGCGAGCGCAGUCGACGUCAACAAGGUGGCAAGGCCCGCAGCCAGCGCUGCGGUUCUGAGCCUGGUCA